rnacentral:lncRNA from 1 species
AUGGAAAAGAAAUGCAAAAAAGCAAAAUGGCUGUCUGGGGAGGCCUUACAAAUAGCUGUGAAAAGAAGAGAAGUGAAAAGCAAAGGAGAAAAGGAAAGAUACACGCAUCUGAAUGCAGAGUUCCAAAGAGUAACAAGGAGAGAUAAGAAAGGCUUCCUCAGCGAUCAAUGCAAAGAAAUAGAGGAAAAGAACAGAAUGGGAAAGACUAGAGAUCUCUUCAAGAAAAUUAGAGAUACCAAGGGAAUAUUUCAUGCAAAGAUGGGCUCGAUAAAGGACAGAAAUGGUAUGGACCUAACAGAAGCAGAAGAUAUUAAGAAGAGGUGGCAAGAAUACACAGAAGAACUGUACAAAAAAGAUCUUCACGACCCAGAUAAUCACGAUGGUGUGAUCACUCACCUAGAGCCAGACAUCCUGGAAUGUGAAGUCAAGUGGGCCUUAGAAAGCAUCACUACGAACAAAGCUAGUGGAGGUGAUGGAAUUCCAGUGGAGCUAUUUCAAAUCCUGAAAGAUGAUGCUGUGAAAGUGCUGCACUCAAUAUGCCAGCAAGUUUGGAAAACUCAGCAGUGGCCACAGGACUGGAAAAGGUCAGUUUUCAUUCCAAUCCCGAAGAAAGGCAGCGACAAAGAAUGCUCAAACUACCACACAGUUGUACUCAUCUCACACUCUAGUAAAGUAAUGCUCAAAAUUCUCCAAGCCAGGCUUCAGCAAUAUGUGAACCGUGAAAUUCUGGAUGUUCAAGGUGGUUUUAGAAAAGGCAGAGGAACCAGAGAUCAAAUUGCCAACAUCCACUGGAUCAUAGAAAAAGCAAGAGAGUUCCAGAAAAACAUCUACUUCUGCUUUAUUGACUAUGCCAAAGCCUUUGACUGUGUGGAUCACAAUAAACUGUGGAAAAUUCUGAAAGAGAUGGGAAUAACAGAGCACCUGACCUGCCUCUUGAGAAAUCUGUAUGCAGGUCAGGAAGCAACAGUUAGAACUGGACAUGGAACAACAGACUGGUUCCAAGUAGGAAAAGGAGUGCGUCAAGGCUGUAUAUUGUCACCCUGCUUAUUUAACUUCUAUGCAGAGUACAUCAUGAGAAACGCUGGGCUGGAAGAAACACAAGCUGGAAUCAAGAUUGCCGGGAGAAAUAUCAAUAACCUGAGAUAUGCAGAUGACACCACCCUUAUGACAGAAAGUGAAGAGGAACUAAAGAGCCUCUUGAGGAAAGUGAAAGAGGAGAGUGAAAAAGUUGGCUUAAAGCUCAACAUUCAGAAAAUGAAGAUCAUGGCAUCUGGUCCCAUCGCUUCAUGGGAAAUAGAUGGGGAAACAGUGGAAACAGUGUCAGACUUUAUUUUGGGGGGCUCCAAAAUCACUGCAGAUGGUGACUGCAGCCAUGAAAUUAAAAGACGAUUACUCCUUGGAAGAAAAGUUAUGACCAACCUAGAUAGCAUAUUGAAAAGCAGAGAUAUUACUUUGCCGACUGAGAUCCGUCUAGUCAAGGCUAUGGUUUUUCCUGUGGUCAUGUAUAGAUGUGAGAGUUGA